CGGGAUCUGUUCAAGACCAAAAUUAACACAACCACAUGAAUUUAAGUGUGUAUAGAUUUAAUGCAUGUGUGGCGUAUUGUCUCAGUUUACUACAAAAUGAUGAACAAUUCAAGGUUAUGAAUUCCACUAAUUCAUUAAGUAGAUUUGAUACAUCUACACUAGGGAAAGUUCAAGUCCAAAAGACACUUAUAUCCUGAUGUGUGUUUUAUCUAAAGUAAAUUUAGGUUUUACCCAUAAAAAAACUUUCACUUUUGAAAAAAGCCAAAGCUUUUUCAAAAAAGACAGAAAAACCUCUCAACUUUCAAACCAAAGACAUGCAAAUGUAAAGGAUUCCUUAGGAAAUCAAAAAAUAAAUAAGGGCAAUUUUGUCCAUUUUGGCUUCUUUUAAAAUUUUUCUCUCUCCUUUGGGCUUUUCCAAAGUCUCCUUUUAUCUAAUUUCCUCUCCAGUUUUUUGAGUUUGCAUAUAUUUUUUUAAAAUAAAUUUGCGUUUCAAAUGUGGUGUAUUGUUAGAAGUUUGAAAGCAAAUGUCCCACAUCGGAGGAAACAAAAGGUUUUACAUGCUUUAUAAGCAUGAAACCUUAAUACCAAUUAAAUAUGAUUGGUGGGCUGAUGGGCUUCGUAGUGAAGGCUAUACAUGGUUGGCUUAUUUGAUUAAUAAUCUAUAUAUAUAAAGCAAAAGGCAGAGAAUGGUGAAACAUUCAAAAUACCAGAAAAUGCCCUUGGUUAAUGCAAACAUUAAGAAUUGAAAUUAUUAAUUAAAUGAGGAUAAUAUGGUAAAUUCACAAUUAUUCGUAUUAAAAAAAUUAAAAUUAAAAGAAAAUUCAGAUAAUGGGUCCUAUUUUUAUGGAACACAAAUAUCCAUUAUCUUUUUUAAUUCUAAAAUAAAUUUAAUUUUUUUAAAAAAAAACCUCUCGCAUGCGCGGAAGCG
rnacentral:lncRNA from 1 species